UCUAGGCAAAUCACUUAGUCUCUGUCUCAUUUUCCUCAUCUGGAAAAUGGGGAUAAUAAUAACAUCUACCUUCUGGAUUUGUUGUGUGGCUCAAAUGAGAUCAUAUUUACCAAGUGCCUGGCUUAUAGGAGCCACAAAUAAAUUCUUGUUCCUUUCUCUUCCCUCAAAGGACUAGAAGCACAUGCCAUGGGCUCGAAAGGUCUCCUAAAAUGGAGUCCAGGGGUAAUUGAACAUUAAAGCAUGGUUGCAUUGUACAAAGUCUGUAGUGUCACCUGGGGGAGUGGUAGAAGAUAAUGCCACUCAUUCUCAUGUUGAGGCUCCAGUUUGUUUGUUACAAAAUCAGCCCCUUCUGAGUCAAACGGAAACAUGGGAAAGAGCUGAAGAUAUGGUGGAGGGAAGGUUUAAAAAGGAGAUGGACGGACAAGGAUGGAAUCCAGUUGAGUACCAUGAAGGCUGAAAGAAAGAUGGCAGAAUAAGAUGUAGGAAAUGAUUCAAGAUCCAUUUGUCCUACUUUGGGCUAAGUAAGUAACGAUAGGCCAGACACUUGGAGGCAGGGCCAAACUUUAGCUCAUGGAUUAGGAAACGCACCCUGAGCUCAUGGCACCCAAUUCCCUGAAAUUGACUUAAGAACAAUUUUUCUUCUUCCAGAGGGUUGCCAGCUUCAAGUCUGAGGACAAGUAAAUGACCAUCAGCUUGGGCUAGAGCUUACUGCAGUGGAUCACUUCACUGAAAGGGAUUGUUUCCAGAAGGCCAGAACUUGGCCUGGCGUGGAAGCAAAUGAUCUCAACGGAACUUCUGGUUAAUGCACCGGUACUUCCUGAGUCAUUUCUGGUCUUCCUCACUUGGAUCCUCCAACUGCCUCCUCAAAACUCCAUAUCUGCAGGGAAAUCAUUCUUUUCGCUCCUUGGCAUUUACAAUUUCCAGACCCAGCCUGAAGCCCACGGUGAAUGGCAUGGAAACAAGAGAGAACACCAUGGGAAUAUCAGUAGAGCUACCACACUUCAGAGAGGGUGGUCUGCAGUCUGAUGCCACAAGAUUAUUAUUUUCAAUAUUUGGCUUGAGCGGUGGGCACUAUCACAUUACUAUAGCAAAGGAAGAUAAGGAGAGCACAGCUUUCAUUUGCCUGGAUUAAUUCUCCCAGGAGUUUGAGGGAUAGCAAUCACUCUCCAACAGUACACAAAGAGAAGGUGACUGGUGACAGGAACUGCCUAGCGGUAUUGCUGAAUUGGGAUGAUCUCACUCUAUUUGUGAAGAUAUUGGAAGAGCAUGAGGAAAGAGUACUUAAAGUUUUUGACUAGCAGGAAGACACUGAUCUAGAACUAUCAGCUGACAAGCAUUAGUUCCGCAGAUCCUUUCUCAAGUACAUGGUUUACCUUGUCUCCCCAAGAAAUAGAAGAGUCAGUUUCCAUGUCUGAAGAAUUUGUGAGAGCUAAAGACUUUUCUAGGAUUUGGCAAGUCCUGUCAGAAAUCUGUGAAGGAUUACGCCACUAUUAGCAAGUUUCUCAGUGAUCUCACUUGGGGGUAUGUGGUUGAGAAGAACCAAAAGCAAAAGGACAAGAAGGCACAAUUGUGUCUGAACCCUUCAGUACCAUUUGAUAAGUCAACUGCUUCAAACAUGCACCAGCACUGGCUUGUGUGCAUCUGGCCACACCCUAUGUGUUAUAGGAUAACUGGCUCAUUUUUUGGCUUUUGUCUCCUGUGAAUUACAGGGGCUCCAAGUUUCUCCUUGAGACAAAGGCCAAUCUUUUUUAACAUCAAUAUUCUUCUGUUGAUGCUCUAUGGCUGCGAGUCAUGGAAUCCAACCGUCUCUGAAGAAUUCAAGUUGCAGGUCACCCAAAGGGCAAUGAAGAGGUGUAGCCUGGGCUGAGAAGGCUGCAACCUAUUACCAAUGCAGAAUUACGCAGAAGCAGCUGCAUGAAGGAUAUCACUAGGGAGAUCCAGGACUGAGAAAGGAAACAGAGCAGUCAUAUGGCAGGAGCAAGAGAUAACUGAUGGACAGCCUGCAUGAAGCAUUAACUGGACCCCCUCUGCAGGACUGACAAGAGGUACAGCUGGAAGAGACAUUAGAGAUCAUCUAGUCCAACACCCUCAUUUGAAAUAUGAGAAAAGUGAAACAUAGAGAGAUUAAUUAACUUGCCUAAAGACACACAGGUAGCAAAUCAAUCAGCCAGUCAACAAGUAUUGAUUAAGCGAUUACUAUGUGCAAGGCAUUGGACUGGGGAUAUAAAAAGGGCAAAAUCAGUCCCAACUGCCAAGAAGUUUACAUUCUAAGGGGAUAGGAGGGCAGGAGACACAACAUGUAAAUUGCUAGGUACAUGCAAGAUGUGUACAGAGUAGAUGGAAGCUAAUCUUAGUGGCAAAGAAUCUAGGGGCUAUAGGGACCAAGAAAGGUCUCCUGCAGAACGUGGGAUGUGAGAUAUUUCCAUCCCAGAUGUUGAUACAGGCUACACACAUCUGACCUGUGUUAGAACCUGCUAAGCUCGUAUUGGUCUGAUCUGCCACAGUUGGGCAUGUUGUACAUCAACUCCAAAAUAGUGGUGUCAUUUUGAUCCUCUUACAGUAUAAAGUACAACAUCCAACCUUGAGCAAGUCCUUUCCUUUCCUUUGAUCUUAGUUUCCUCUACUGUAAAAUAAGGGGGUUGGAGGGGGCAGCUGGGUAGCUCAGUGGAUUGAGAGCCAGGCCUAGAGAUGGGAGGUCCUGGGUUCAAAUCUGACCUCAGACACUUCCCAGCUGUGUGACCCUGGGCAAGUCACUUGACCCCCAUUGCUUAGCCCUUGCCACUCUUCUGCCUUGGAGCCAAUACACAGUAUUGACUCCAAGGUGGAAGGUGAGGGUUUAAAAAAAAUAAGGGGGUUGGACUAGAUGGCCCCUGAGGUCCCUUCCAGCUAUAAAGAUCUAGAAUCUUGUCAUUAGUUUACAUAAAAAGACAUACUUGAAAAGAUGAGAAAGAAAACAAAUAAGGUUUCUGCAAGUGACUGUGAAGGACUCUUUACAUGUAUCAUCUCAUUUGAUCCUCAAAAGUCUUGCAAAGUAGAUACAACGAGAAGACCGAGGCUGAGCAAGGUAAAAUGACUUGCUCAGAGUCACAUAGUAAGUAACUGGAGCCAGAUUCAAACUCAUGUUUUCUGAUUCCAAGUCCAAAGCUCUAUCACGUUGGAAGAACCAAAUGGAUGAAGAAUGCCUAUUGUCUAGAGCAGCGGUUCUCAACCUCUCAAUUUGUAGCAAUGAGAAUACAUAGUGCAACAUAGCAGGUAUUUACAUUCCGAAUCAGAACUGUAGCAAAAUUACAGUUUUGAAGUUGCCACCAAAAUAAUUUUUUGGUUUGGGGUCACUGCCACAUGAGGGACUGUAUUGCGGGGUCACGGCAUUAGAAAGGUUGAGAACCACUGCUCUAGACUAUGACAGGCAGUUAUAUAGACAACUUCUGGAUUAUCUUCAUCAGUAGCAUGCUCAUUUUGGACAGAUUCUGAAAAUGGACAAUGAUUUGAUCCCAGAGUUGAGCUGGACGAGUAGAAUAGACUGCAUUGCCUUUGAGAAAUUGAGCAGGUUGUUUUUAAUGAUCUCAAGCUUCUCCCGGAAAUAAUAGUAAUAGGUAAUAUUGAUAUGGCAUUUUAAGGAAUGCUAAAGACUUUACGUAUAUUAUCUCAUCAAUAAAGACUCACCUUUUUAAAACCA
rnacentral:lncRNA from 1 species